AGCUUUGCACAGUGGCAGUAUUGUAGCCAAUGAGGUUUAUCCAAGGCGCGAUUAUUGCUAAUUGAAAAUGUGAUGUCUAUUUG
rnacentral:snRNA from 1 species